rnacentral:tRNA from 1 species
GAGAGUGUGGCUCAGUGGUAGAGUAUUUGCCUAGCAUGCAUGAGGCCCUGGGUUUGAUAUCCAGUACAAUCA